CCUACGGGGGGCAGCAGUGGGGAAUAUUGGACAAUGGGCGGAAGCCUGAUCCAGCAACGCCGCGUGAGGGAUGACGGCCUUCGGGUUGUAAACCUCUUUCAGCAUUGGCGAAGCCGCUACUUUUUGGUGGUGGUGACGGUAUGUGCAGAAGAAGCACCGGCCAACUACGUGCCAGCAGCCGCGGUAAUACGUAGGGUGCGAGCGUUGUCCGGAAUUAUUGGGCGUAAAGGGCUCGUAGGCGGUUUGUCGCGUCGGGAGUGAAAACGCAGGCCUUA
rnacentral:rRNA from 1 species